UAGAUUUAAUGUCUUGUUGUGUAGCUUCUCAUCAACUGAAUUAUUUUCUGUAUAACAGUAUAUAUGCAUGCACGCACACACUUGCGCGAGCAUACAUAUAUACUCAACUCAAUAGAUUUAUAGUCUAAAGAAACAUCAUGAGGAGGGAAAAAGGAGAAACAUCACUCACUCGUUACAAAAUAUCCUCCUAUAUUUAUAGACUAAUUAAUAAGCUCGAUCCAAGAUUCUAUACUUCAAGAAUCAUAAUUAAAUCUUCUCUCUUUUUUAUGUGGAAACUUUCUUACUCUUUCAGACUGAAAAAGGAACUUUGUAAACAAAAAUAGAUGGACCAUCUUUCCCUCUGUCCCCUCGUAGUUCUCCUGCUGUGCUUAGUGAUACUAGCACUCAGUAAAAUAUUCAAAACCGUGAUCCAAGAUCAAGAGAAAUCAACGGCUGAUAUUCCUCCGGGAAGCCAUGGUUUUCCGGUGGUCGGAGAAACACUUCAGUUCAUGCUUUCCGUAAACAGCGGCAAAGGCUUCUAUGAGUUCGUUCGUAGUCGUCGUAUCAGGUACGGAAGUUGCUUUAGGACAAGUUUGUUUGGAGAGACGCACGUGUUCCUGUCGACGACUGAGUCAGCUCGGGCUGUUUUAAAUAACGAGUCAGGCAUGUUCACGAAACGGUAUAUAAAGUCCAUAGCUGCGCUUGUGGGUGACCGGAGCCUUCUUUGUGCUUCUCAACACCAUCACAAGAUUCUCCGUAGCCGUUUUAUCAACUUAUUCUCCAAAAAAUCGACGGCUCUGAUGGUUAGACACUUCGAUGAACUCGUCGUUGACGCGCUUAGUGGAUGGGAGCACCGUGGUACAGUGGUCUUGCUCACAGAUUUGCUCCAGAUAACAUUCAAAGCAAUGUGUAAGAUGUUAAUAAGUCUAGAAAACGAAGAAGAAUUGGGUUCAUUGCAAAGAGAUGUUGGCUUUGUUUGUGAAGCGAUGCUAGCUUUUCCUCUCAAUUUACCCUGGACUAGAUUUCACAAGGGCAUCAUGGCAAGGGGAAGAGUUAUGGAGGUGUUAGAAAAGAUAAUCAGAGAAAGGAGAAAUGAAACAAAUAGUCAUAAUAAUAAUUAUCAUGAAGAUUUUCUGCAGCAGCUUCUUGCAGUAGAUAGCGACGGCUCUGCUUCGUCUUCUGAUCAUUCUACUAAGUUGACUGAUGCUGAGAUUAAGGACAAUAUUUUGACCAUGAUCAUUGCAGGACAAGACACGACGGCUAGUGCUUUAACGUGGAUGGUUAAGUACCUCGGUGAAAAUCAGAAGGUUUUGAAUAUUCUGAUUGAAGAACAAACUCAGCUUGCUAAGCAGGCAUCACAUAAACCAUUUCUCGAACUAGAUGAUCUCACUGAAAUGACAUAUGCUUCAAAGAUGGUGAAAGAAUCUCUGAGAAUGGCGUCUGUUGUGCCUUGGUUCCCAAGACUAGUACUUCAAGACUGUGAAAUGGAAGGAUACAAGAUUAAUAAAGGAUGGAAUAUAAACAUUGACGCUAGAUCCAUUCAUCUUGAUCCUAACGUAUAUAGUGAACCUCACAAGUUCAACCCUUCAAGGAGGAAGCAAAAGCAAACAGUUUCUUAGCAUUUGGUAUGGGAGGAAGAACAUGUCUUGGACUUAAUAUGGCCAAAGCCAUGAUGGUAGUUUUUCUCCACCGUUUUAUAACCACUUACAGAUGGGAGGUGGUAGAUGGAGAUCCAAGCAUCGAGAAGUGGACAUUAUUUGCAAGAUUGAAGAGUGGAUAUCCGAUUCGUGUGUCACGUAGACUGUAAAUAUAAAAGUUUCAAAUUAGAUCUUAUAUGUGUAUAUAAAAAGACUCAACGAGUGUUCCUAUAUACGAUGUUUCAUAUCCAAAUGUAAUACUUACAACUUUGCAUUAAUGUCAUAUAUUGUCACUAUA